UGAUAGUGAGUGAGUGCUCACGAGAUCUGAUGGUUUUAUAAGUGUUUGGAAGUUCCUCCUUCAUUCUUCUUUCUCCUGCUGCCUUGUAAAGAAGUUGCUUGCUUCCCCUUCAGCUUCUGCCAUGAUUGUAAGUUUCCGGAGACCUCUGCAGCCAUGUGGAACUAUGUUCUGGAAGAGGAUGUCUGUAAUCCUGCCCCUGUGAGGCACUGAUGGUGAUGUGCUACACUCUGUCCCACAUCAGCCUUUUUCAACCCUAGUUGUAUUGGCUGAAUCUGGGUCAAAUUGACUCUAGAGGACUCUAAAUAUAAUCCGGCUUUAAGAAAUGGCUUUUUUCCUUUUCGUGGAAAAGAUUACUCAAAGAGUAGAUAUUUGAAACUUCCUUUGUCCAGAAAAUGAAAAUUAUUUUUUAAAAAGCAUGAUUUUUCUGAUGGCAAAAAUACAAGUGUUGUGACGGGAGCACAGCUGGUCCUGAAAAGGCACAACACUCAGACAAGCAUGUGAGAUUGCAUUCGUCCCUGCUGGGGAGCCCCGAGCUUUAGAGCAUCUGCCCCAUUAGACGAUCAGGGCAAUGCGUGGAAGAAGGCUAGUGCCUUGCUGCCUGGGUGUGGUCUGUGACAUCAUCUGGGAUCUUGUAAGAAAUAUAGAACCUCAGGCCCUGCCAAAGGCUUUUUGAAUCAAACUCUGCAUUUUAGCAAGCUCUUCUGGGCAAUGGUGACAUCUUGGAAAGUCAAAUUAGUAGUUUUCUGGAGAAGAAAUUAGGAAGAAAGUGG
rnacentral:lncRNA from 1 species